rnacentral:rRNA from 1 species
UACGAGGGGGGCAAGCGUUGUCCGGAAUCAUUGGGCGUAAAGCGCGUGUAGGCGGUCCGGUAAGUCCGCUGUGAAAGUCGGGGGCUCAACCCUCGAAUGCCGGUGGAUACUGUCGGGCUAGAGUGCGGAAGAGGCGAGUGGAAUUCCUGGUGUAGCGGUGAAAUGCGCAGAUAUCAGGAGGAACACCUAUUGCGAAGGCAGCUCGCUGGGACGUAACUGACGCUGAGACGCGAAAGCGUGGGGAGCAAACAGG